rnacentral:rRNA from 1 species
UACGAAGGGGGCUAGCGUUGCUCGGAAUCACUGGGCGUAAAGGGUGCGUAGGCGGGUCUUUAAGUCAGGGGUGAAAUCCUGGAGCUCAACUCCAGAACUGCCUUUGAUACUGAAGAUCUUGAGUUCGGGAGAGGUGAGUGGAACUGCGAGUGUAGAGGUGAAAUUCGUAGAUAUUCGCGAAGAACACCAGUGGCGAAGGCGGCUCACUGGCCCGAUACUGACGCUGAGGCGCGAAAGCGUGGGGAGCAACAGG